ACUUGUACCGACUGGAUGAGCAGCGAACGGGUGAGUAACGCGUGGGGAAUCUGCCUUUGAGCGGGGGACAACAUUUGGAAACGAAUGCUAAUACCGCAUAAAAACUUUAAACACAAGUUUUAAGUUUGAAAGAUGCAAUUGCAUCACUCAAAGAUGAUCCCGCGUUGUAUUAGCUAGUUGGUGAGGUAAAGGCUCACCAAGGCGAUGAUACAUAGCCGACCUGAGAGGGUGAUCGGCCACAUUGGGACUGAGACACGGCCCAAACUCCUACGGGAGGCAGCAGUAGGGAAUCUUCGGCAAUGGACGAAAGUCUGACCGAGCAACGCCGCGUGAGUGAAGAAGGUUUUCGGAUCGUAAAACUCUGUUGGUAGAGAAGAACGUUGGUGAGAGUGGAAAGCUCAUCAAGUGACGGUAACUACCCAGAAAGGGACGGCUAACUACGUGCCAGCAGCCGCGGUAAUACGUAGGUCCCGAGCGUUGUCCGGAUUUAUUGGGCGUAAAGCGAGCGCAGGUGGUUUAUUAAGUCUGGUGUAAAAGGCAGUGGCUCAACCAUUGUAUGCAUUGGAAACUGGUAGACUUGAGUGCAGGAGAGGAGAGUGGAAUUCCAUGUGGUAGCGGGU
rnacentral:rRNA from 1 species